CGCGAGUAUUCAGAGUUUGAUCCUGGCUCAGAACGAACGCUGGCGGCAUGCCUAACACAUGCAAGUCGAACGAGACCUUCGGGUCUAGUGGCGCACGGGUGCGUAACGCGUGGGAAUCUGCCCUUGGGUUCGGAAUAACAGUGAGAAAUUACUGCUAAUACCGGAUGAUGUCUUCGGACCAAAGAUUUAUCGCCCAGGGAUGAGCCCGCGUAGGAUUAGCUAGUUGGUGGGGUAAUGGCCUACCAAGGCGACGAUCCUUAGCUGGUCUGAGAGGAUGAUCAGCCACACUGGGACUGAGACACGGCCCAG
rnacentral:rRNA from 1 species